rnacentral:rRNA from 1 species
CACGAACGCUGGCGGCAGGCUUAACACAUGCAAGUCGAGCGCCCCGCAAGGGGAGCGGCAGACGGGUGAGUAACGCGUGGGAAUCUACCCAUCUCUACGGAAUAACGCAUGGAAACGUGUGCUAAUACCGUAUACGUCCUUCGGGAGAAAGAUUUAUCGGAGAUGGAUGAGCCCGCGUUGGAUUAGCUAGUUGGUGGGGUAAAGGCCUACCAAGGCGACGCUCCAUAGCUGGUCUGAGAGGAUGAUCAGCCACACUGGGACUGAGACACGGCCCAGACUCCUACGGGAGGCAGCAGUGGGGAAUAUUGGACAAUGGGCGCAAGCCUGAUCCAGCCAUGCCGCGUGAGUGAUGAAGGCCCUAGGGUUGUAAAGCUCUUUCACCGGUGAAGAUAAUGACGGUAACCGGAGAGGAAGCCCCGGCUAACUUCGUGCCAGCCGCCGCCGUAACAC